ACGGAAGGCAGCAGUCGGGAAUAUUGCGCAAUGGAGGAAACUCUGACGCAGUGACGCCGCGUAUAGGAAGAAGGUUUUCGGAUUGUAAACUAUUGUCGUUAGGGAAGAAAAAAAUGACAGUACCUAAGGAGGAAGCUCCGGCUAACUAUGUGCCAGCAGCCGCGGUAAUACAUAGGGAGCAAGCGUUAUCCGGAUUUAUUGGGUGUAAAGGGUGCGUAGAUGGGAAUUUAAGUUGGUUGUGAAAUCCCUCGGCUCAACUGAGGAACUGCAACCAAAACUGAAUUUCUUGAGUGUCGGAAGGGAAAGUGGAAUUCCUAGUGUAGCGGUGAAAUGCGUAGAUAUUAGGAGGAACACCGGUGGCGAAGGCGACUUUCUGGACGAUAACUGACGUUGAGGCACGAAAGUGUGGGGAGCAAACAGGAUUAGAUACCCUGGUA
rnacentral:rRNA from 1 species